AAUGAAGGGAGGUUUUGGAAAAAAAUAUAAAUUUCUUAAAAAUAAGGGAUGUGGUUUUCAUUACAAUUGUCUUCCUAUUGAAAAAGCUUCCAUACCUUCUGCAUUUUCUCCACCUCAAGAUGCUUGAUGGAAGCCUCAUUCAACAAUAAUCAACAUACUGCACACUACACCGGCCACCUGUCAUUGCUCCGCCCACUGAUCUUGAAAGUUCUGUAUAAUUGGUUAGCAGUCAGAAUGGUCAGGAUUGGCGGGCCAUCUGACAGCAGCUUUUGAUCUCACCUUACCUGUACUAUAAGAGGACAGUGUUUCUUUUUUGAAGCUGCAUCUAUGAUGUGUGUAAAUCAGUAGUCAGUACUUAGAAGAUUUAGUUUUACAGAUUGGGGACAAUUCUCAAAAUAGGGGGAAACAGUCUUACUGACUAAAGGGGUUUCGUGGUGAAGCGAUGGUAAUUUUUUUAUGUUUUCCUGGAAAUGAGUUUAUCCCUUGGGUUAACGUCAAAGAUGGACAUUUCGGAACUGAAUUUUAAUCAUGCUCAGAAAAGAGGAAUCAUGGUCAAGCUCCACCACGUCCCUCCCCGCGGGACCCAGUGCGACAGACCCAGGUACACUGAAAAAAAAGAAUAUUAUGUAUCUUUCAUGUCCUAAAUAAGUCACACAGACUAGAACAAUGAAUUUUUGCAUCUGACCUUUUCUUACAGGAUUUGAACUAUAAAUCACUGACAAAUCAGACCAAAUUAAAUGGACAUUCCAGAUCAGUUAAGUCUCAAAGCUCGAGGUUAUUCAAUUUUAAGGAAAAGUGAGUAUAGCAACACAUUUGAUACCGCUGUGACAUGCCGCUUGAAAUGGAAGGGCACGAAGAGAAAACAAGCAAAUAAAUAAAUAAAUAGAACACGAAGGUGGAGUUAUUAACCGAUGCGUGGGGCGACGCCUUCUAAGAGGAUCACUGGCAGGAGUUAUAAAAACGAUUGUUGGGCAGAUGGUGGCGACAACACUUCAAUGGCAAAGAUGUCGAUUAUACAGAAAAGAAGACAACUUAGAUAAGAGGAAAUGAAGUACCUGGCUUUGCUCUCGUGGACAAGCGCCUGUCUGGAAGCUGCAGAUGCCGCAGAGGCUGGACGGGCAUCCCAGCCAGAAGAGGAGAUGGUUACUUACCCAAAUGGGCAUCCCGGCCUGUGAGGAGAAAGGGAUCAGAUCCAGAAGAGAGUGUCAGAUAGGAUGGAUGUACAGCCCACCGAAACUGGUAGAUGUUACUGUGGACUUUAGAUGGCAGUGGCCCUGGAUAUCAGUGCCUAGUUUGGAACCAGUAGGCUAUGCUGGGAAGUGUAGUCCAGCAACACAGCCCUGCUGGGGCCCCUGGGUGCUUCAAAGGCGUGCAGCAGGGAGAUGUGCUCCCUAAUAUGGGACUUCCGUAUGACCCAGAAGCACUUCCAUCUCAUUGUCUGGGCACCGUUAGUACUCCUGGGUCCUUAAUAAAAGGGACCACACUCCCUUGUCUAGGUGAGUCGAAGCUGGAAGGAAGGAAAUACUCAACUGCAGGAGGACAGUGCGGUGGUGAGAAGAACUGGAAGGAGAAGGUAUUAUUGUAGAAAAAGAGAAGGAAACCUGUGCUUGUGCCACUUCUGAGGUAUUAUAAAAAGGACUUUUGAUUAAUAAACCAUCCUUUAUUUGAACCCGGGACACUUGGAGUGUUCAUGUUGGGGUUUGGGCUCAUUGAUGGCCUGGUUUCCAUCACAAUGUAUGUACAGUAUGUAUGUAUGUAUUUAUCUUUCUGUAGUAUAGUAUAGUUCUUUACCUGUCUUGCACUUGUCAUAUGUUUAUGUAUAUAUUGCACUGUGGUCCUGGAGAACAUUAUUUUGUGCCACUGUAUGCUGCAGGUGAAUGGAUGAUAUAACAGCAAAACUAUUUCAUGUCAUUUGAAUUGAUCAUUUUUUUUCCAUACUCCUCUAGCCACUGUAAGAUUGUGCAGGAGCUGGAGCCCUGGAUUAAUAAAAAAAAAAAAAAAAAGCUUGAAGUGCUAA